rnacentral:rRNA from 1 species
GCCAGCAGCCGCGGUAAUACGGGAGGGUGCCAGCGUUAUCCGGAUUUAUUAGUUUAAAGGGUGUGCAGGCGGACGAUCAAGUCGGCUGUGAAAUUUACGGGCUCAACCCGUGACUUGCGGCCGAAACUGUUUGUCUUGAGUGAAGAUGCUGCAGGCGGAAUGUGUGGUGUAGCGGUGAAAUGCAUAGAUACCACCCAGAACCCCGAUUGCGAAGGCAGCUUGCAAAACUUCCACUGACGCUGAUGCACGAAAGCGUGGGUAGCGAACAGGAUUAGAUACCCUGGUAGUCCACGCAGUAAACGAUGACCACUGGCUCUUGGCAAUAGACAGUCAGGGGCUGAGCGAAAGCAUUAAGUGGUCCACCUGGGGAUUACGUUCGCAAGAAUGAAACUCAAAGGAAUUGACGGGGGCCCGCACAAGCGGAGGAACAUGUGGUUUAAUUCGAUGAUACGCGAGGAACCUUACCUGGGCUUGAACUGUCAGCGACGCUUGGGGAAACCUAAGUUCCCUUCUGGGCGCUGUCAGAGGUGCUGCAUGGCUGUCGUCAGCUCGUGCCGUGAGGUGUCGGGUUAAGUCCCAUAACGAGCGCAACCCCUAUUGCUAGUUACCAGCACGUCAAGGUGGGGACUCUAGUGAGACUGCCACCGUAAGGUGAGAGGAAGGCGGGGAUGACGUCAAGUCAGCACGGCCCUUAUGUCCAGGGCUACACACGUGUUACAAUGGCCGGUACAACGGGCAGCCAAGGGGCGACCCUGCGCCAAUCCCCAAAGCCGGCCUUAGUUCGGAUCGCAGUCUGCAACCCGACUGCGUGAAGGUGGAUUCGCUAGUAAUCGCGCAUCAGCCAUGGCGCGGUGAAUACGUUCCCGGGCAUUGUACACACCGCCCGUCAAGCCAUGGAAGUUGGGGUUAC